UGAUUGUCCAGGCAAAUCCGGAUAAUCAAGGCUGAGGUGUGAUGACGAGGCACUACGGUGCUGAAGUAACAAAUGCCCUGCUUCCAGGAAAAGCCUCUAAGCAUCAGGUAACAUUAAAUCGUACCCCAAACCGACACAGGUGGUCAGGUAGAGAAUACCAAGGCGCUUGAGAGAACUCGGGUGAAGGAACUAGGCAAAAUGGUGCCGUAACUUCGGGAGAAGGCACGCUGGUGUGUAGGUGAAGUCCCUGCGGAUGGAGCUGAGACCAGUCGAAGAUACCAGCUGGCUGCAACUGUUUAUUAAAAACACAGCACUGUGCAAACACGAAAGUGGACGUAUACGGUGUGACGCCUGCCCGGUGCCGGAAGGUUAAUUGAUGGGGUUAUCCGUAAGGAGAAGCUCUUGAUCGAAGCCCCGGUAAACGGCGGCCGUAACUAUAACGGUCCUAAGGUAGCGAAAUUCCUUGUCGGGUAAGUUCCGACCUGCACGAAUGGCGUAAUGAUGGCCAGGCUGUCUCCACCCGAGACUCAGUGAAAUUGAACUCGCUGUGAAGAUGCAGUGUACCCGCGGCAAGACGGAAAGACCCCGUGAACCUUUACUAUAGCUUGACACUGAACAUUGAGCCUUGAUGUGUAGGAUAGGUGGGAGGCUUUGAAGCGUGGACGCCAGUCUGCGUGGAGCCAACCUUGAAAUACCACCCUUUAAUGUUUGAUGUUCUAACGUUGGCCCCUGACCGGGGUUGCGGACAGUGUCUGGUGGGUAGUUUGACUGGGGCGGUCUCCUCCCAAAGCGUAACGGAGGAGCACGAAGGUUAGCUAAUCCUGGUCGGACAUCAGGAGGUUAGUGCAAUGGCAUAAGCUAGCUUGACUGCGAGCGUGACGGCGCGAGCAGGUGCGAAAGCAGGUCAUAGUGAUCCGGUGGUUCUGAAUGGAAGGGCCAUCGCUCAACGGAUAAAAGGUACUCCGGGGAUAACAGGCUGAUACCGCCCAAGAGUUCAUAUCGACGGCGGUGUUUGGCACCUCGAUGUCGGCUCAUCACAUCCUGGGGCUGAAGUAGGUCCCAAGGGUAUGGCUGUUCGCCAUUUAAAGUGGUACGCGAGCUGGGUUUAGAACGUCGUGAGACAGUUCGGUCCCUAUCUGCCGUGGGCGCUGGAGAAUUGAGGGGGGCUGCUCCUAGUACGAGAGGACCGGAGUGGACGCAUCACUGGUGUUCGGGUUGUCAUGCCAAUGGCACUGCCCGGUAGCUAAAUGCGGAAGAGAUAAGUGCUGAAAGCAUCUAAGCACGAAACUUGCCCCGAGAUGAGUUCUCCCUGAGACUUUAAGUCUCCUGAAGGAACGUUGAAGACGACGACGUUGAUAGGCCGGGUGUGUAAGCGCAGCGAUGCGUUGAGCUAACCGGUACUAAUGAACCGUGAGGCUUAACCUU
rnacentral:rRNA from 1 species